rnacentral:rRNA from 1 species
CACGUAGGGGGCGAGCGUUGUCCGGAUUUAUUGGGCGUAAAGAGCUCGUAGGCGGCUCAGUAAGUCAGGUGUGAAAACUCCAGGCUCAACCUGGAGACGCCACCUGAUACUGCUGUGGCUAGAGUCCGGUAGGGGAGCAUGGAAUUCCUGGUGUAGCGGUGAAAUGCGCAGAUAUCAGGAGGAACACCAGUGGCGAAGGCGGCCCCCUGGGCCGUACCUGACGCUGAGGCGGCGAAGGCUAGGGGAGCGAACGGG